CGGGAGCUCUCGGGCCCAGCGUGAGCCACGCCCCUCCCCCUCAGGAGGCCACCGCCUUUCUGGGGCCGCUGCUGUUAGGAUUCUGGAACGCUGGGGGUAGAGGCUGUGGUCGUGAGGCCCUGGCCUUUCCUGGUCGAGUCCAGACAGAGGGGCAACCACAUGCAAGGGAAGGAGAGCGGAGGGGCCCGUGCCGACCAUGGAGCUGUACCUCGGCGCUGCUCCAAGCCUGACCAUGUCGCCGUCACCAAGACGGUCGCCAGCGUCCUGGCCACGGACACAGAGCAGUGCGGAGACCUGAGUGGCCUCAAGCCGGGCGGCGUCUUUCUCUGGCGGCCGCAGGGCGUGCACAAAACCCACUCUGUUGGAGCGGCUCGACUACUGGAUCGACCUCUCGGGGUCAAGCUGCCUGUGAUCCCCGGAAGCAAUGCUGUAUACUAUACUACGAAUGUCGGUGAAAAGAAAAUACUUGCGAAACAACUACAUAACGUACCAGAAAACAAUCAAAUCCCUCAAUAUUCUGAUGUUGCCCAAGUCCAGAACUGGUUGUUAAAGGAGGGCACUGAAUCUGUCAAGGACCAGGAGCGGUUAAUGAGGCAUAGAUAUUUGGAUAUGAUAAGUAGAAAACUAGAACAACUUGAACGCACAGCAGAAGAACAAUGCCUAUACCUGAUGGAUAGAGAAAAAAGACGACAGCGGGAACACACAAGAAGAAAACUUGCUCUUCAUAGAAAAAUCGAAGAGGAAUGGAAGGCAAAAGAGAUGUUACUUCUGACAAAGAUGGCAGAAGAUGUUAAAAGAGAAGAGAGGAUAGAAGAACAACGACACAGAAACAGAAAAGAGAGUUUCAGAAAGAAACAAGAACUUCUAGAGAAAAAAAUGGCUUAUCAUUUACAAAAAAUGCAAGAUACUGGCUUUAAAGAAGAUAUGGGGAAAAAUACAUUGAAGUACAAAGGUCAAGAUGGAACAACACAUGAUAGUGGAAAUAGCAGUGCCAAGAAGCUGUUGAGGAAGACUGUUCUCCCAACCGACUCAUGAAAACAACAUACUAGGGACAAGUGGCUUAAGCCCUCUGACUAAGCUUACCAGUCUACUCAACAUGAAGAUGAUAAGGAUGAAGACCAAUAUGAUGAUCCACUUCCACUUAAAAAAUAGUAAGUGUAUUUUCUCUUUCUUAUGCUUUUAAUUAUAUUUUCUUGUCUCUAGCUUACUUUAUUAUAAAGGUACAGUUUAUAAUACAUAUACAGAAUAUGUGUUAAUUGACUAUGUUAUUGGUAAGGCUUCUGGUCAACAGUAGGCUAUGAGUGAAGUUUUGAGGGAGUCAAAAGUUAUAUGUGAAUUUUCAACUGCAUGGGGCGUCUAAUCCCUGCGUUGUUAAAGGGUCCACUGUAAAUCAGUUGUGGCUUUACAUUGUUAGAAAGAGGAGUAGCAAAUAUGAAAAGGGAGAAGCUGGAACAAACCCUGUGGAGUGGGAUUAUAGUUGGAAGAAUCAGUAAGAACUCAUGGUUUUUAAUACGACUAAGUAAAUAUAGAAGUAGGUAACUUUCAGGCUGGGUGCAGUGGCUCAUGCCUGUAAUCCCAGCACUUUGGGAGGCCAAGGCAGGUGGAUCACAAGGUCAAGAGAUCAGGACCAUCCUGUCCAACAUGGUGAAACCCCAUCUCUACUAAAAAUACAAAAAUUAGCUGGACAUGGUGGUGCGUGCCUGUAGUCCCAGCUACUCGGGAUGCUGAGGCAGGAGAAUUGCUUGAACCCAGGAGGCCGAGGUUGCGGUGAGCCAAGAUCAUGCCACUGCACUCCAGCGUGGCACCUGGCAACAGAGUGAGACUCUGUCUCAGAAAAAAAAAAAUAGGUAACUUUCUAGAUCUACCUGAUGAGCUAGAAACAAUGACACUCCAAUAGCAGUGAGCAUACCAAGGGCUCAGAUACUGAUUUCUAAACAUUGUGUUCAUGUGCUUUGGAAAAGCUAACAUCAGGGCUGAGCUGGGAUGGGAAUGUACAAAAUAAGCCUGGAGCAUCUUAUGCUACAAGCAAGUAAGUGCUCAAAGAAUGCUGGAGUUAUAUCACUAGUACAUAGGUGUCAGCUGGAAAGGGCUCCCACUGGCCAAGAAUGAGACGAUUUGAGCAUCAAAGCCAAUAGUGGAUAAUAAUCCAUUGAAUAAGAUAGGAAUUCAUGAAUCCAUUCUGAAGUAAAUGAAUCGAUAAGGGUCAAGGGAAAAGAUUUCCUCAGAAUUAAUAUGCUCAUCUAAUAAGUGUCUGAGGAAUGAUGGAAUUAGAAUAUAACCAUUUGGCAACUGACAUAGUGACAAUGGUUUCAGGCAGGAAUGAUCAAUAGAUGCUAAAACUAGUGGGUGAAAUUUGGAUGAGAGAUAGUAAUUAUAGAAUCUCAAAGAAUCUACCUGUCAUGUACUUUCAAAUUAAAGAGAGAAUAAUAGUGAUUAUAGUGGAAAAAUCUGACAGAUACCAUCUUAACCAAGUGAUAAGGAUUCACAUCACUAGUUAUGGAACAAACCAGUGUCACAUGCCGUUGGAUAUGGCACGCAGGGAAACACAACAGCUCUACUGUGCAGCACCCAAAGCUGAUUAUGAAUGGGGAAGCAUCUUCCAGUGCUACUAACUAUAUGGCUGUACUCUUCAAAAACAUCAAAGUCAUGAAGGAAAAGAAAUACUGAGGACCAUUUCAGAUCAAAGGAGACCAGCAAGAUACAACAACUACAUGCAACAUGUGAUCCUGGAUCAGUUUUUUUUUCUUUUUUCAGAAAGAACAUGAUUAGGCCAGUAAGUGAAAUUUGAAUCAGAUCUUAAAAUUUGAUAAAUAGUAUUGCAUUAAUAUUAAUUUCUCAAUUUGAUAAUUAUACUAUGAUGAUGUAGAACAUGGCCUACAUUUUAGGAAAUACAUGUUGAAGUAUUUAAAGAGUAAAGAGCAUCAUGUCUUCAACUUACUGUCAAACAUUCAAGAAAAUAAUAGUGAUAUGUAUGUAAAUACAUAAGCAUAUUAAAACCACAGAUAUACCUAUGUAUAUAAAGAUAGAAUGAGAAGGCAGAUGUGGUAAAAUGUUAAUAUUUGAGGAAUCUGGGUUGUCCUAGUCUCUAAAUGUUUUCAUAAUUCUGAAAUUAUUUCAGAAUAAAAAGUUAAAAAUUUGGCAAAGGAAAAUAAAGCUUUUUUUUUCUGUGAAAGUUUUAUUGGGAUGUUUUGGGUGUCAUGCACAAGAUAAGUAAGAACCCCAGAAUUUUGAAUAUAGUAACUUGGACACCACACUACCUGUUAUCUACACAUUGGUAGGCUCACCCCCACAACUACCAGAGAAGAACAAAAGCUCAGACCAAAGUAGUUGGAUUCCCUCUUUACUCCUCAUCCAUUUCGCAUCCCCCUCAAUAUCCACCUUCUCUAUGCAAACCCAUUUUUUCCUGAUGACAAGCAAACAGGCCCUUUUUUGCUGUUAAGAAUGGACUCACAUUAAAAUGCACUGUCCUCAUGAGGUACAGCUCUGGGCUGAGGGUCGUUCAGGCCUACAGUCUAAAUCCUAGGAACUGCAAAUGUUGACCUAGAGUUUUGCUAACACUGUCCUUACCCCAAGUAUUUUUGUCCAAAAAUGCUGGUUCUGCUUCAGUCUCUAGGUUCACAUUCCUCUAGACCACUUGACUAAGUCAACCACAAACACACACAUAUCUUUGACCUCUAGUAAUAUUUUAGCCAAGAUGCCACCUCUGAGCAGCAACCUGGGUCAGAGCCAUGAGAACAUGACCUAUACACAAAGCUGAUUGAUGGCCAAUUGGUUCAUUGACCACUGAGAAAUAAAUGAGUAACAGCGAUUGUAGGGCUACCUCAAACACACUAUGCUAGCUGUGAUUGCCUCUGCAUGGCCCCUUGGUCCCAGCAAUUCAGAAACUCCAGGAACUGACCUUAGUUGCUUAAGUUGUUUGCUUAUCUGUUGUGUCUUUCAAUUUAUCUCACAACAAAUUGUUUAAUAGGGCAUAAAUCUCUUGGUUGGAGGCAGUAGAGCAGUAGUUAGGAUUCCAAACCUCAGAAGCAAGCAGGCAGAGACACCAUCUCAGUGUUACUAUCAUCAGAUGGCCCUUGGACAAAUUAACUUUUUUUUAGCCCCAUUUUAACUUUUUUGUUAGCCUCAAUUUUCCUACUUGUAAAAUAGAAGUACAACAUCUACAUUGGAGAGUACUGAGUGAGGUAAAGUGACCUAAUGUCUGUCUUGUUAUCUUCAGGGCAGAAUGAAUCGCUUUCACUUUAUGAGGCAGUAUACUCUGUGUAUUGCUCAUAUUUGGGCAUGGGUUCCUCCACCUCAAUACUUUUGAUAUGUUGGGCCAGGUAAUUAUUUGUUGUGGAGUCAGUCCUGUGCAUUGUAGCAUGGGAUUUAGUGGCAUCCCUGACCUCUACUCUCUAGUCAGCAGUAGCACCCCUCCCCCAGUUGUGACAACCAAAAAUGUCUCCAGAUAAUGCCAAAUGUCUUCUGAGAGAAAAAAUAUCCCCCAGUUGAGAACCACUGUUCUAGCACUUCCUAGUUUUGGGACUCCAGAACAUCAUAGCACUAGAACUACUUUUUUGGAGACUUAGUCAUUGGUUCCUUUGUAGUGUCACAAUGAUGAGUUUCUUUUUUUAAUAGGCUUAAUGGAAAAGUUGUGUUGCCUUAUAAAAAUUACUCAUAUUCUUCUGCUGUAAGCAUUAAUUUCUCUCUAUAUAAAUAUUUUUAAAUGUCUUUUUGUCAUCAGGAGGAUAGGAGGCUGAUAUGGUUUGGCUCUGUGUCCUCACCCAAAUCUCAUCAUCCAGUCACCUCCCGUUUGGUCACUCCCUCAAGGUUUACCCCAUGCUGUUGACACCAUGCUGUUCUCCUGAUAGUGAGGCAGUUCUUAUGAGAUCUGAUGGUUUAAAAGUGGUGGUUACCCCUGUGAUCUUCCUCUCUUCUGCUACCAUAAAGAAGGUACUUGCUUCUCCUUCACUUUCUGCUGUAAUUGUAAGUUUCCUAAGGCCUCCCCAGUCAUGUGAAACUGUGAGUUGGUUAAACCUCUUUCCUUUGUAAAUUACCCAAUCUCAGGCAGCUCUUUAUAGCAGCGUGAAAACAGAUGAAUACAGAGGCCAUUAGCAAAGCCAAACUUAUGUAUGAUACCAUUUGUGAGUUUAGAAAUUACCAAAUUAGCCCUCAUAGUAUUUGCGAGGUCUGGAUUCCAGCUGUGCCUUUUGAGCUUGAGCACUACAAGCUGCUCUGGGGAUACCCUUUGAUAGGUGGCCAGCUGACUCCACAGAAUUCAAAAUAUCCUCCUAGUAAAUCUAUGGUCCUCAAGUUCCUGGUUGAUCAAGACAGGGAGGAAUGAUAAUAACUACUAUGAUUCAUUGAGUACUUAACAUGUUCUAGGCCCUCUUCUAGGAUCUGUAAAUAUUUAUCUUAUUUACACCUUACCAUAAAAUUAUCCUCAUUAUAGAGAGGAGGAAACACAUUCAGAAGGUCUGUUUAAUUGGCCCCAGCUACAAAUGUAGUGGUGAUUCUGGGACUGACACCCAGACCACUGAAUUCUACCACUGCUGUCUACAUUCCCACUCAACUCUGGGCUAUGCAUACACUUCUCUACAUCACCAGUUCCUUGCAUGAUACUUGCCAUUAUGUUGAUGUUUACUAAAUGUUGUACAGCAAAGAAGGAAAAGAGGAAGGAAUGAAGGAAGUCUCUACUCUAGCUCCAGAGUUCUAGUGAUAAUUGGAUUAAUCUUUGAGAUCUCUGAAUUGUUGGGUCAAAAGGAUAAUAGCAAUUAUACUAUAAUAUUCACAUUUCCAAUUUUGAUAACAUUAAAAAAUUUGGGGAAGUGUUUAUGUAAUAUUUAUCUCAUGUAAUUGUCAAGAUAUUUCUUGUGUAGAGUAGAGGUCAAAACUACGGUCACUUGCCAGAGAGUGACCAGAACUACAACUUCAAUCUCUGAACUUUUAAACUGUGUGAAAAGAGAAAGAAGAACUGCAAAGAGAUGAACACAUUAUGAGUUGACAGUGGGCACAAGAACACUUUAUCAAAAGUUUUUUACCAUACCACAAAGAUUCAAAAGAAACCAAGAAAGGAGAACUAAUUCUGUCUUUCAUACACCAUGCACAAUGAUUUAUAGUAACUGCCUGUCAGCAGCCAAAGGAAAAGAUUACAAGUGCUCUCCUUGAUCACUUCUGCUUUUCUUAACUUUCUCUUCCUGGAUUUCUUUUCAUAGUACAAAAGUUUAAAUAGGAUUUUUUUCCCACUUCUCUUAUUUACCUUCCUCUGUUCCUUAAAAAUAAAUGACAUAUUAAAAAAAGAAGAACAGAAAAUAUCUCAAUAUUAUUGUGAGUUAUACUUUUUAUAAGCAAUGUGGAGUUCUUCUCGAUAGUUCCUCCAAGACCAGUUGAUUUUAUUUCCACAUAACUUCGUGAAGUGUUUCCGUUUAUAAAGCAAUACCAAAGGUGGUCAACCACACUGACAGGAGUUUGUAGAAUCUUUAUUUACUUCCAUUGUGUUGCAAUUGUGGCCCAAGCUGAAUCAACAACUAUGAUGUUUACCAAAAUACAUCAAAUAGAAAGCAUUGAGCUAUGAUCUCCUGAAGUAUUCUCUUUUUGGAGUUCUCUUGCACAGGCUUUCUUAAUACUGAAAGCCACUGGACAUGUAUGCCCCCUAUACAUUGAAAUAUUGUAAACCUAGUUAACUUACACAACAUUCCAUUUCACUUUUUCCUUUUCAUUGAGGUAAAAAAAGAACUAUUUUUUGUUGUUGUUGUUGUUUGGUUGGUUUAAAAAAAAAAUCCCAAGUGGUCUUUUAGAGAUUUCUGGUGCACUUUAAGAAAAAUGAACACUGGAACCUAUUGACACAAACUAAAGAAUUAUGUUUCUGUGAAAACUGUUCAAAUGGGCCACCCAGAAAUCUGAAAAAAAAUUUUUUUAAUGGAGCCAAGGGACCCUAUGUUAUAUGUGCUUGCAUUAAGCAACAAAUGCUUUUUUGAGAGUCUGACUGUAAUAACAAUUAUAAUAAUUAUUUUCCUGCUGAUGAUAUAUAGUUGAGUUAGUAUUUACCAUCAUGGGAGGGCAAGUCCCUUACUCAAUGGAUGAAGAAGCUCCUCCUCUGGUUAGUUACAUUUCCCUUGAUUCCUGCUUCCCUGAAAGUGGGAGGUAAUCUUUGGCUGCCAGACUGUGCUUUGAGUAGUGGGACAGCGAGGCAUGGAGUUCAUGUGUGCUUCCGCUACAGAUUCACUCAGACAGCCUCAUCAGGACACAGCUGCCCUCCCUCCCACCAGAGGUGGACCAACUCCCUCACAUAGGGAAGAUCUACUGGAUUUGCAUUUUGCAUUUUUAGUUCUAAGGAUAGAAGCACCUCUGUUUUUCCUUUGCCUUCCUUCAAAACUUUUAAAUUAUAAUUCACCAUCAUGUCCGUAACUAUUCAUUAAUUAUCCUGAGUCCCUCCUAGGUUUAUUAUUUUGACAAUGUUUCCUGACAGUAUUAACAGGUUAAGAAUUAUUGUUAAAGCUAUGAUUAUUUAUGGUCAUUGUAUAAAAAUUACUAGCUGAGAAAGAUUAUAUGUUAUGCAUAAUUAUCAUUUGUAGUCACAGGCUUUAAGGAAAGCUCAGAACAUAGAACAUAUGUAUAGAUUCCAAAAGCGUGUUCGAAACUUCAUGAUAUUUCAGCCACAGUGAUCUUUAAGCAGAAGAAAGGGUCUGAGUUUUUAAACACUGUCCGUUAAGAUAGUGACAUUUGUUAUAAGAGUUUUAACACCAAUUCCCAUUUUCUACCCUUUAAAUGUUUGAGUUAAUGAUUUUUUGUGUGUACUUAAACAUUGAGAUUUGUUCUAAAAUCUGAGCACCUCUUUGAAUAUUAAAAAUAGAAUAUGAAGGUGAUGUAACAUUUAACUUUCACUUUAUGCAGCGUGUAACCAAGGACAUUUUUAGAGCAGUUAAUAUAUGCCAAGGGUUACUAAGAUCAAUAGCACAGAAGCACAGUCUGCCCUUGGUCUAAUAGUAUAGCAGGACAUUUCAGAGCCAUUGUACAACUCUAACUUGAUUGUUGAUUUGAAAAUAUAUUUAUUGAAGUACACCUGUUAAACAUCAAGCCAUUGAGAGAGAGCCAUAUCACUAUUUUAAAAACCAAACCACCAGGUCAUAAAAUGGGGAGUAAGUACCUGAAGCAGACUUAUCGCUGCCACCCCAGGUUCCAGGGAUCAAAUAUGAACUGUUGGGAAUUUCCCUGCUUUUUCAUAACCUACAAGGCAUUUUUCUUCCUCAGUUAGUGUAUAUAUGUAUGUGUUCACAUAAACUGACAUCUGAUAAUAUUGAUAAAGCAAACAGAUUAACAGAUCAGACGUGCAGUUGACAGUGAAUCUGUUGCUUCAGUAAGAAACUCAUCUAAGAUUCCUGCGCUUUUUGGAAAUUUUAGCCCUCCAGUUUCCAAUUAAUCAUAAGAUUCAGAGAGGGUGUCAAGUAGGCACAGAGAAAAAUAACAAAAUACAAAUUGAAAUGGGAUGCUAGGAUGCUAAAGGACAUUCAAAGAGAGUCCUGGAGGAGUUUAAGGCAAGAUCCCAGGUCACACUGAUAUCAUUUCUAUAGUGAGAUGCACCCAGCUCCCUUCACUGGAUUCUAAUAUGUUACAAUAAAAGAAGUAGCAACAGUUGACCACAGCUUGAAAGACCAUUGAUUCAUUCUGCAAAAGUGAGAAAAAUCAAAGAAAGUUUAGAUUGACUUGAUAAAUAAAAGAAUAAAUGACAAAAACUGUCAUCUAGUUACCUU